rnacentral:rRNA from 1 species
AUGCCAGUUCUUUGCGGUCGGACGAAAUUGCCCCUGUUCAUAAUAAACAUUAGAAAAAAGAAAAACAAAGGCCGAACCGGCCUCUCUCUUCUCUACCGAGUCCCGACACGACGCUCUCUUGUCAUCCCGUUUCUCCCCAACCCAAGUGCGGCGGCGCACCAUAGCGGCGGCGGCGGCUUAGUGCUAUGGAUGGAGGUGGUGCAGCAGAUGGAGAUGGCCGCGGAAGACGGCCAGGGCGCGGCGGAUGGGUCAGGCCUUGGCGCGGUUGUGGAUCUAGCGUUGGUGACCGAUGGCGACGGCGGGGCUGCGGUGGGCUUGGGCCAGGGCGCGGCUGCGGCUGCGGAGGGAACGGGUGAGUGCGCGGUUGAGGGUGGCGAUGGCGCAGCUUCUGCAGGUGGUGGUGGCUCGGCUGCAGCGGGCUCAGGCCAGGGCGUGGCAGUGGCUGGAGACUCCGGCCAGGGCACUGCUGGGUCGGCCUCGGCAGCAGCUUCAGGCCAGGGCACGGCUCGGUUGGCACUCCAAAAGUGA